UCAUUUAGAGGAAGGAGAAGUCGUAACAAGAUUUUCGUAGGUGAACCUACAAAAGGACCAUUGUCGAAACCUGCAAAGUAGACCACGAACACGUGUUUAACCACAUUAGGGCUGAUACGAGGGGAGGAACCCUCCCGACGUGGACCCAUCACCUGCCGGCGCGUGCGAAUUUAUGCCGGGCGGGCUAAUGAACCCCGACGUGGCAUGCGCUAAGGAAAACUCAAUGAAGCGUCCGCCCCCUAUCKCACCCAUCUGUGGUGCGCAAGAGGGGGAGCGGACAUCUCUCAAAAUGUUAAAAURACUCUUGACAAUAGAUAUCUCGGUWCUCGUAUUGAUGAAGAACGUAGAUAAAUAUGAUACUUGGUGUGAAUUACAGAAUCUCGUGAACCAUCGAGUCUUUGAACRCAAGUUGCGCCCGAAGCUAUUAGGCCGAGGGCAUGUCUGCCUAARCAUCAUACAUCGCGUUGCCCCSUUCCUAUGCUCCCAUGCAUGCGGCCAACCCAAAUGUAAUCUCGCAGCGAUGCACAUCAUGAACAGUGGUAUUUGAACACUCAACUCGUGUGCUGUCAUGCGAGACAGCGUCAUCCACUCGGGCAUCAUCACCAACCUAAACGACGCAUUGCGAUUGUGCUUGUAACCACGAUCUUAGGUCAAGCGGGAUUACCCGCUGAGUUUAAGCAUAUCAAU
rnacentral:misc_RNA from 1 species